CCCGUCCGUGACUUGUACAUAACAAUCCAAGCAUCUCCUAAGCGUCUUUCUCCCCCUUCGUAAGGCCAUCGCGUCCACCAACGCACGUCUUACAUCCGCCCAGUACAGUGCCGUUGAAGCUGUGACGAGUAAUAUGAACGCUUAAGUAAUUUAUGAACAUCCGCUGCGUUUGCCUAGCAUUGUCGUAAAGGAGGUCGCGUCGGCAUCAGGCCAUCAACGUUGCGCCCAGGACAACACUUGCUGCAGCCAAGAAACAGAAAGUAUAUCUCUAUUCGUUCAUCCCCUUGGUCUUAGGGUUGCCCCUAAGACGACGUAGAUACCACCUCCUGACACCGCCGUACCGGAAAGCACUUUUCCGGUACGGGCAGAGCCAGCAGCAUUCCAGGUUCAGAAUUGAACCCAAAGGCAGAAAUCACCAUUCUGAGAGUUGAACGUCGCCAUCCAUGAUUUAGACAUACCAUUCCAUGGCCUGUGCAUGCGCGUCCGUGUCCUUCACUACGUUGCCAUCACGUCCACCAACGCACACUUGACAUCCGUCCUGUCCAGAGCCGUCGUCGCGAGCUUCGACAACAUGAAUGUAAGCAACAUUCGGAACAUCCGUCCUGUUUGCAUGGGAUUGUCGUCCUCCCGCCGGCGGAAAAGCCACUCAACGUAUUGCUUAAGAAUUCCUACCCAAGCCUAUAACACAAACAUAAUAACAUUGUCCUAGCAUUCCAUAGCCCUACUUGACUUGCCUACAAGUCCACAGAAACGAGUUGCCCCGGUCGGACCCUCCAAGUCUAGCCCAGUAGCUUACUGUGGGCUGACGUUAGUGAACAUGGAAUGCAAGCUGUGUGUGUGCUCAUCCCCUUUGAAAAAGGUU
rnacentral:lncRNA from 1 species